CUGGCUCAGAUUGAACGCUGGCGGCAGGCCUAACACAUGCAAGUCGAACGGUAACAGGAAGCAGCUUGCUGCUUUGCUGACGAGUGGCGGACGGGUGAGUAAUGUCUGGGAAACUGCCCGAUGGAGGGGGAUAACUACUGGAAACGGUAGCUAAUACCGCAUAAUGUCGCAAGACCAAAGAGGGGGACCUUCGGGCCUCUUGCCAUCGGAUGUGCCCAGAUGGGAUUAGCUAGUUGGUGAGGUAACGGCUCACCAAGGCGACGAUCCCUAGCUGGUCUGAGAGGAUGACCAGCCACACUGGAACUGAGACACGGUCCAGACUCCUACGGGAGGCAGCAGUGGGGAAUAUUGCACAAUGGGCGCAAGCCUGAUGCAGCCAUGCCGCGUGUAUGAAGAAGGCCUUCGGGUUGUAAAGUACUUUCAGCGGGGAGGAAGGGGUUAAGGUUAAUAACCUUAGCCAUUGACGUUACCCGCAGAAGAAGCACCGGCUAACUCCGUGCCAGCAGCGGC
rnacentral:rRNA from 1 species